rnacentral:rRNA from 1 species
UUUAAUUAAGAGUUUGAUCCUGGCUCAGGAUGAACGCUGGCGGCGUGCCUAACACAUGCAAGUCGAGCGAGAAGGUUGUGAUGGAUUCUUCGGAUGAAAGAUCAACUGGACAGCGGCGGACGGGUGAGUAACGCGUGGGUAACCUGCCCUACACAAAGGGAUAGCCACUGGAAACGGUGAUUAAUACCUUAUAACACUGAGUUGUCGCAUGGCAACUUAGUCAAAGAUUUAUCGGUGUAGGAUGGACCCGCGUCUGAUUAGCUAGUUGGUAAGGUAACGGCUUACCAAGGCGACGAUCAGUAGCCGACCUGAGAGGGUGAUCGGCCACACUGGAACUGAGACACGGUCCAGUCGCCUACGGGAGGCAGCAGUGGGGAAUAUUGCAUAAUGGGCGCAAGCCUGAUGCAGCAACGCCGCGUGAGCGAUGAAGGCCUUCGGGUCGUAAAGCUCUGUCCUCAAGGAAGAAUAAAUGACGGUACUUGAGGAGGAAGCCCCGGCUAACUACGUGCCAGCAGCCGCGGUAAUACGUAGGGGGCUAGCGUUAUCCGGAUUUACUGGGCGUAAAGGGUGCGUAGGUGGCCUGACAAGUGAGGAGUGAAAGGCAAUGGCUCAAGGAUUGUAGGCUCUUGAAGCUGUUAGGCUUGAGUGCAGGAGAGGAAAGUGGAA